rnacentral:lncRNA from 1 species
UGCACCUGCAACUAGCAACGCUAACACAGGGUUAAGCAAGCGGUAACAUAGCCAAUCAGUGGUUUGCUAGGUUGUGAACUGGUUGAAGGUUUUCAUGGCAUUGUUGAGAGGUUGAUAUUUAACAUGUGGUAGGCAACGAGACAUAAUUGAUAGAAACGGUAAAACUAGCAUGGCAAUGAUAGUAAUGGUAUCUGGGGAAAUGGUCAUCUUGCCUGAGAUCCCGCUUGGAAGAAGAACGACUCCGUGAAGCAGACCAACCGAUGUAGUCGAAUGGGUCCUCACUUUCCGACACGCUUGCGGAACUCUAUCGAGACGAAGCAAACCAGAAACAAGAAUAAACACACGAUAUGCACCACAAGAUGCACAACACAUAUGAUGCAUGAGCCUGAAUAAAUGCAAGACAUUGCAUGGCAAUUCACAACACUCAAACACUACACAUUAAGUGAAGUUCAAUAUGCAACGAGUUGCAUAUUGACGAAACUCCACAUAAUAAUUUUUUUAGUUCUAUCCCGAUUAGGUACACGACAGUAUUAAAUGUGGUUAAACAUGGAAAGAGGUGAAGGCAAUUAAACUACCUAUCUAAGUAUUUUAAAUGAGGUCGGAAAUGACAUAUAGCAUCUCCGAAACGACCUGACAUGUUAAAUUACAAUUCUGUCCAGAUCUGAACUAACACGUUUAAUUAGUUGUUAAACAGCAAAGCAAAUAGGUUCACGUGAUUCUACGCGUUGUUCCAAGCAAUUUACACAUAGAGAACAUCUCCAACGGAGCUAUAGAUCAAAAGAUACGGACACCACAAGAUAUGAUGGGAUGAAUGCAAAAUGUGUGCAACGACAGUCACGAGCACUUCAAAACAUACAACCAGCAAGAUAAAAUGGAUCUACACGAGAUUCUAAGCAAGUUUCAUAUAGGACACGAUCAAAACGGAGCUACGGUUCAACAACUACGAGCUAAACAAGAAAUCACUACAAUCUCCCAAAAUCAGCCACAUAGCGUUUUGUACACCCCACAACUAUGAGCUACUCAACUCCAAUAUACUCAACCAAGACAUGACACGAUAGAGGGAAAGAAUCACUACAACAUACAACUAACAACCACUAGCAUGGAAGCAUGGAACACUAGGAAAAGAAGUCACAAAAUGGCUUCUCACACACAGUUUCAGACUUAGUGAAAAUAACAGUUUAUGAAACUGCAGCUUUCGAUCUGAAGGCAUAUUGACAGCACCAAAACGAUAAUCUAUAGGACUCCAAAUGGCAUGAAAAUUCACAGCAUUCUAGAGAAUCCCAAAGUCUACAACUAACUCCAUUGCACCAACCUCAAAAGAGCCACAGAUCACCAGAUAAAAUCAUGCAAAGACAGCAACAAAAUAUAACAGAUUUCAGACUUAGAAAUAUUUCAGCAUCCCCAAAUCAGCACUAUUUCCUAGCAAGUUGAGAGCAAGCAAACCACACCUAAACAUGGAUUUUUAUUGCAACCAAAAAUACCAGGGGCUAGACUAAACAUCAAAGGGCAACUCUCUAGUUGACAACUCCUUCAAAUCACGCACGGACUAAACCCCACAAAACAAACAAAAGGCUACAUAGCAAAAUAUCAUGCGAACUAACUUACUCAAAAGCUAAAACUAAAUGCACAGAAAAAUCCAUUUUUCUACCCCGAAAACAUAUAUAACAUGAGGGGUUGCACAACAAUAAUAUCGCCACCCGUAUAUGCGAGAUAAUAUCCUAAACACGAAAAAUAAAGUAAUGGCUAAACCCUACAUGCAAAAAUACCAACGAAUACUCUAAAAUACAUGGCAAAGGGGUUCCUAAAACAUGAACAUUUCUACUACGGAGUUCGAACAAUCCGGACUCGCACGAGAAAAUAAAUACGGGACUAAUCCUAUUGGGACAGCAUGUAAAACUAUGCAUUUGGCACGCUAAACUACAUCAAACAUUUAUGCAAGUUGUAAAUUUGUAUUCUACGCGAGAUUCUACACAAAAACCAUAUGCUACACGUCGCGAUCCAACUUACGGUUAAUAAACUACUAGCGAUUUAAUAUCUGACUAUUUUCUGGAAUUUAUUAAUUCCAAAAAUUCCUAAAUUAACUAACCAGGCCUAACAGGGGCGCAAUAUACCGACAUGAGCCUAGGCGGGGAAUAGAAGCAGGGGAAAGAGGGCUCACCUCGGCUUCAUGGGCCGGCCUGGCCGGGAGGAAGAGGCCUCGACCGCGGUGGAGCUGUGUGGGCUGAGGCCGGUCAACGUGGGGGAGGCCCAGGCGGGGUGCUGCGCUCGUUGUCUCCGUUCCUGAUCGGGACGCAAGAGACUACAACAGCUCGCCAGGAAGAGGGCGGCGGGAUCCGGCCGGAACGAGGCGACGCAGGGCGGCGGGGCCGACGGGAGGCGAGAUUUGCGUGUGCGGCGGUCGGCUCACUGCAGGGGAGGCCUAGCGGCAGAGGUGGCCGGCGCCACUCCGGUGGGCUUCCGGCGAGCCACUCCGACCGGGUGGUGCUCCGGCGGCUGGUGGCACCCGGGCACUCCAGCUGCGGGGCGAAGGGGACAGGCCAGCGGGUGAGGUCCUCGCGGAGAGGGCCUGCCGAGGAGGCGGGGAGGCGCUGGAGAGGCCUCACGAGGCGGCGGUGGUGGAUGGGCCUGCCCGGGCCCGAUCUGGGCUCGGCGGGCUCGCGGCGGCUGGGGUUGGUGGGAGGAGAGAGAUGGCUCGGUUAGGGUUUCGAGGCUGCAUGGUUUUCGAGGCAAAGGGAUAGGGUGUCUAAAAAUGGCAUGGGAUGUCCUAUUUAUAGGCAAAGGGGGGCUAGGUUUAGCGAAAUUCCGCCCCAGUUUCAACCGCGCGGUCGGAUUUGAAUAAUUCUGAACGCGGGACGGACUAAGUGGCCGUGUAGAGUAGUUAUAUGGAGACGAGAGGGAGAAUGGGCGAUGCGGCAACGAUUUUCAAACACCGAUAAAACGUCCGAUGAUAGACCGAAUACGGUGCCGCUACGGUCGACCGUUCGGGUACCGGACGGACUCCGAUUGCGGCGAAAUUCGACAAGGCGACCUAUCUAUAUUAAAAUAAGACCGCACGUCAAAUCUCAACCUCAACAGAGAAAUUUUUAUAGACACUUUUAAAACAAGGUUUCGACGAUGCAGCGGGCGCGUGCGUGUGUGGUCGGGCUCAGAAUGGACAACGACGAGAACCGGCAUUAACAACGGAUGCAAGUUUGAAAACUGGCAGCAACGGAGAUGCCGAUGCAAUGCUGAUGAUGCGCAUGAUGCGAUGAUGAUGCGCCAAAUAAAAUAAUUCACACGACGAAAACGUAAUAAUGGGGAAUCUUUUGGAACGUCGGUCUCGGGCUGUCACAACCCUCCUACACUACAGGAGGAUCUCGCCCCGAGAUCCAAGAAUGAAAGGGGGAGAGGAUGAGAAAGGAAGAGGUAAAACUUAAUCGCUUCUUUGACAAACGAGUGGAACCAACGAUCCUUGAAGGUUGCAAAGCGAUGAGGAAUGAUAUGAGAAACAAGCAAGAAUUCACGGAAAAUUUCGGUAGCACUUCGGUAGGAAAAUGUGACAAAUUUUUUGAUAAGAAGGGAGAAAUAGACAAUAUUCAUAACAAACAACUAAAUUGAACAAGGGAACACCAUGAUCUUGAUAGAACAACAAGAUUAACCCAAAAGAGCAACAUCACAAUGCCUCCGGAACAAGGGAAUAAAACUAGAUCAUUGGGAUCAAAGAAUGAAUAAGAGAAUGACAACUACUAUCACAAGAAUCUUGAACAACACUUUAGACAAAGAAUUUAUAUCAUGAGCCACUCCGAAAGAAGAAUUCAGAUUACUAUGAACAAGAAUAAGAAUUAUGUUAUGCUUAUCCUUCAUCAAGUUUGAUUGAUGACAAGCAACGGAUUUAGCAUACCCCUUAUUCUUUUAGAAAUGAUUGAGGAGAGAUAUAUGACCACAAACUAGAAGAAAACUUGAAAGAAACUCCGGUGAGAAUUGAAAUGAAUGAGGCAACCAUGCAUGAAUGGAGAUACAUGAGAAUGAAGAGAUCAUGAGCCACCUGAGAGAAAACUAGAACAAGGCACCAGAAUAAUUGAGAGACGAACGAAGAGACCACAAUUGAGAAGAAUUGAGGAUGAAGCUGAAAGCUGAGAACGAAGUAUCUUCUAAAAUGAUGGCCUUCGGAGAAUCGAAAAAAAAUGAACACAACACCGAAUGCACCGGUUAGAUAUGGAAGGAAUACUCAUGAUUAACAACAAUUGAAAGGAUGACACGAAGCUGAGAUGACAUUCUUCAAAAGAAUGGACAAGACUUGAGAGAAACACUCCUUCAAUCUUCCAAGCUGAAAAUGAUGACGAGAAACAAUACCAGGGAUAAUGAGACACUCUGGAAUACAGAAGAAUGAAAGGUUGAUCCAAAGACGAGAAACAAUUCAAAUUGAUCUAGGAGAAGGGAUAUGACUGAUGGAAAUCAUUCUUACGUCAUAGUUGAAAAUACUUAGAGAUCUCCGGGAAAGAUUACAAGAGCCAGAUAAGAUCCUGGGAAAGAACCUGUGGGUUAUGGGCCCACUCAAAGAAAUCACCGUUGACAAGAUUGCUUAGAAGAGUGAUAUUACACCGGCACAAAUGAAAACUAGAUGAGGUUAGGCCCUCGAAAUAAUUGAAAGAAUUGAAAACAAGAACUUCUGAGACAUCUUCAACACUCCGGCUUGAACAGAGAUGAAAUAAUAACAAGAGGGGCUUGAAUAAGAAUUUCCAACGUGGGGAAAAAAUUUAAAGGAUGAAAAGGAUAUGAUGACACGGAUAACUGAAUUGAAUUCACCGAAAAAGAACAAAAUGAAGAAAUGAUGAACUCGAACUCCUGAGAAUCUUCACAAUGAAUCACCGGAUGCAAAAGGAAGAAGAGAUAACGGAAGCAUAACUGAAUAUGAAGGCACUUGGAUGAUAAACUAAUNNNNNNNNNNNNNNNNNNNNNNNNNNNNNNNNNNNNNNNNNNNNNNNNNNNNNNNNNNNNNNNNNNNNNNNNNNNNNNNNNNNNNNNNNNNNNNNNNNNNAUUUUGGGUGGCAUGCUUUCAUUGUCAACGCAAUGACUAAGAGUUCUCAACAUCUUCCACGCUACACAUGCUAUAGGCGGUUCCCAAACAGAAAAGUAAAGUUUUGACUCCCCCACCACCAAUCAAUCACACUCCACGGCUAGCCAAAUCCUCAGGUACCGUCCAUACCAACAUCAAUCCAGGGGAGUUUGUUUGCAAUUAUCUUUUCUAUUUGAGCAUGGAACUGGGAAUUCCAAUUACCGGCCCCUUUCUCGUGAAUGAUAGUGAAUAAACACAUAUCGAGGAUAACACGCCUAGCAUGGAAGAUACUGAUAGCCCCCCGUCACCACAUGAGCGGUUCGGGCAUGCAAAACAGACUAUUUCUUGAAGGUUUAGAGAGUCAAGCCACUUGAAUCAUUCAAAGGAGGAUACCAUCCUAUCAUACUACAUCAUAGUCAUCUCAAAAUUCAUGUUGGCAUCCAAUGCAAACCAUUAUAAGCUCGUAGCUAAUUAAGCAUGGCAUCAGCAACUAUGAUCUCUAAGUUGUCAUUGCACACAUGUUUCUCUCACAACAAAGCUGAAUCAGGAACGAUGAGCUAGUCAUAUUUACAAAAACAAAAUAGAUCGAGUUCAUACCAACUUUUCCAGGCUCAGUCACUUCAUCAUAUGUCGUCAUUAUUGCCUUUCACUUGCACGACCGAAUGAUGUGAACUAUAAUAAGAGUGCUAUUGCAUUGGACUGAAGCUGGAAUCUGGAGGCAAACACAAACGAGAAGACAAAGUAAUAUGGCUCUUUGACAGAUAAACAGAUAUGCAUGCGAGAGCCACUAAACAAUGUAACCAUGGUCUUCUACCUUGACCCCAAAGAAAAAGAAAACUAUUUACACGGGAAAGAUCCAAACUAGCAAAAGAAGAACAGGAAAAUAUUUUUGGGUUUUUCUCAAACUAGACAGACACACGAAAAGAAAACUAGAAAAAUAAACUAGCAUGGAUGAUACAGUGGCAAAGUGUGAGCACCGACGAACAAAGUGAAAGUAUAAGCAAGAAUGUAAAGUCGGUGAGAAACACGUACUCCCGCAAGCUUAGGCUUUUGGCCUAAUUUGGUCUACUCCCAAGGAGGGAAAUAACCAGCUUCGGGGUACUCCAGAGUGGACUGAGGAUGCCACUGCUGUGUGAGCUCCUCUGGCUCCCACUGAUAAACUGGCGUCUGGUACUCGACUGGCGGCUCGGGCACGGGCACCUGUGGUUGGGCUAAGCCCCAAAAUGCGUAGAUGUAUGAGGGCAUAAUAAUGUACGCGCCUGCAUGAAGAUUGAACAAAGAAGGAGCAAGCAAAGUAAUAGUUUCAUGAGUACCCUGACUAAAUACAAGGUUAUAAAUCAUCCUUCUAUUUAUAUCUCUAUCAAGAAAGUCAUGGCGAAUCAUGCUAUCAUGAUCUAGAUAUCUCUCAGGAAGAAGGAUCUCUUCUUCCUCGUCCAGUCUAAUAGGUAUCUCAAAGUGUGUGGCAACACGGGUAGCAUAGAUACCUCUGUAGACAACACCUUUAGAACGGUUCAUGUUCAACCGUUGAGCUACUAUAGCACCCAAGCUAUAAGUUUUAUCGUUAUAAAGGGCUUCGUGCAAGACCGCAAGAUCUGGGGAGCUAAGGGACCCAGCUUUCCCACGACCAAUCAAACAUUUUCCCACGAAUAGUGAGAAGUACCGAAGCACGGCAAAAUGAAUGCUAGCAGCUCUAGCGCAAGACAUCCUCUCUCCUCUCCUACAGCAAUUGUAUCGAUGAAAGCCUCCAAGUCCCGUGGACAAGGUUCAUGAAUAUCCCCAACAAAAGGCAAUUUGCAAACAUUGCAAAAAUCCUGGAGUGACAUCCGCUGGGGGAUAUCAUAUAAUUUGAACUCAACCAUAGGAAGAUUCUUCCUCGGGUAGAAGUUAAAGCUUUGUACGUAGAUAUUAGUGGGGAGGAGGUAUUGCGGACACUUUUCUUCAAUGAAGGCGGUAAGGCCUGCGUUCUCCACCAAGUGAUAAAAAUCCUCAUAAAGUCCGGCGACACGUAAGAACACAUCGCUUGGCCACUCGCACGCUCGAACUUCUACGACUCGAGGGACCGGAUACUUGGGCUUCUUCUCACUUCCAUCAUCCUUGGCGUCACGGCUUGAAGAGCCUCUUAAGAACCUCCUCAUCUUUUCCCUUUUCUAUCUCUGAAAAUUUCUGAAAUUUUUAGUGAUUCUAAGGAAAAGUAAAUAAGGCUCAAUAAAACUCAUAGAAACUACUCCCACAAGUGCCUAGAGGCCAUAUUACGCAUCAAAACUACUUGGGACCACCUAAAAUUAGUAUGCAAAGCUCAAGAACAGGGUCACCAAGGUAGCAAAAAUAUGCGGAGUAUAAGGCACUAGAUCAAAAACUAAUUGGACCAAUGGAGGAGUCACUUACCAAGGAGUAAUUUCCCCAAAACAGUUCGGAGAAUGGUGCUUUGAGCAAGGAGAUCGAAAACCCCAGCAAGAGGAGCAAGAACACGGGUUUGAGCUGGGAAACAUUUUUUUCUGGAGGUAGGAGAAGCAUAUGGGAGCAAGAAUGAGUGGAGGGGGUGCACGUGGGCCCCACAAGCCAGGUAGGCGCGGCCAGGGGUGGUCCCCGCGCCUCCAGGGUUGUGGCCCACUGGUGCAGCCCCCAGACUAGCUUUUCAUCUCAGUAUUUUCAAAAAUUCCAGAAAAAAUCAUACUUGAUUUUCACGGCAUUCAGAGAACUUUUAUUUUCGGGGUCUUUUUCUACGAGACGCUAAAACAGAAAACAGGGAAAACUAAACUAAACCUAUCAUUUUUCUUCUAAGCAACCGAAGGUGAAAGCUUGGAACAGAGGUUUGUGACUCCUCGAUUCAUCCAUCUCAUGGUCAUCGAAAGAAAUCCGUCAAUGAGGUUGAUCAAGUCUCCUUAACAAACCUUUUCGAAUCGCAAAAGAGAAUGGAGAAUUUUUGAAAUUCACUAGGCCACCUCAAUGGGGAUGUGAAUCUCCCCAACAAGCAAAUCAUACUUCAUCUUAACAUGAGGAAUAGGGCAUUCAAAGCUCCCAAUAAGAAUCGAUGAAGUUUUUUCAAUAGCAUUGAUGCAAUGUACUCGAUAUUGUUUCUUUGGAAAGUGCACCGUAUUCUCAUUACCAUUGACAUGGAAAGUGACAUUGCCUUUGUUGCAAUCUAUGACAGCCCCUGCAGUGUUUAAAAAGGGUCUUCCGAGGAUGACCGCCAUGGCAUCGUCCUCGGGAAUAUCCAGAAUAACAAAGUCUGUUAAGAUAGUGACAUUGGCAACCACAACAAGCACAUUAUCGCAAAUGCCGAUAGAGAAAGCAGUUGAUUUGUCGGCCAUUUGCACAGAGAUUUCAGUGGGUGUCAACUUAUCCAGUUCAAGUCUACGAUAAAGAGAAAGAGGCAUAACACUAACACCGGCUCCAAGAUCGCAUAACGCAGUUCUAACGUAGUUGCCUUUUGUGACAGCCCGAGACCGACGUUCUAGAAGAUUCCCCUUUAUUCCGUUUUCGUCGUGUGACUUAUUUUAUUUGCCGCAUCAUCAUCAUUGCAUCGGCAUCUCCGUUGCCGCCAGUUUUCAAACUUGCAUCCAUUGUUAGUGCCGGUUCUCGUCGUUGUCCGUUCUGAGCCCGACCACACACGCGCGCCCCCGCGGCAUCGUCGAAACCUUGUUUAAAAAGUGUGUGUAAAACUUUUUCUGUUGAGGUUGAGAUUUGAUGUGCGGUCUUAUUUUAAUAUAGGUAGGCCGCUUGUCGAAUUUCGUCGCAAUCGGAGUCCGUCUGGUACCCGAACGGUCGACCGUAGCGGCACCGUAUUCGGUCUAUCAUCGGACGUUCUAUCGGUGUUUGAAAAUCAUUGCCGCGCCGCCCGUUUUCCCUCUCGUCUCCGGAUAACUACUCUACACGGCCACUUAGUCCGUCCCACGUUUGGAAUUAUUCGAAUCCGACCGCGCGGUUGAAACCGGGGCUGAAUUUCGCUAAACCUAGCCCUCCUUUGCCUAUAAAUAGGACCUCCCAUGCCAUUUUUAGACACCCUACCCCUUUGCCUCGAAAACCGUGCAGCCCCCGAAACCUUAACCGAGCCAUCUCUCUCCUCCCACCAGCCCGAGCCGCCGCGGGCCCGCCGAGCCCAGAUCGGGCCCGGAUAGGUCCAUCCACCGCCGCCUCCUCGUCAGGCCUCUCCAGCGCCUCCCCGCCGCCUCAGCAGGCCCUCUCCGCGAUGACCUCGCCCGCCGGCCUGUCCCCUUCGCCCCGCCGCCGGAGAGCUCGGGUGCCACGAGCAGCCGGAGCACCACCCGGCCGGAGUGGCUCGCCGGAAGCCCACCGGAGCGGCGCCGGCCACCUCCGCCGCCACGCCUCCGGCCACCGCGUUGUGGCCUCCCCUGCAGUGAGCCGACCGCCGCCCGCGCAAAUCUCGCUUCCCGUCGGCCCCGUCACCCUGCAUUGCCUCGUUUCGGCCGGAUCCCGCCGCCCUCUUCCCAGCGAGCUGCUGCUGUCGCUUGCGUCCCGAUCGGUAACGGAGACGACGAGCGCAGCGCCCCGCCUGGGCCUCCUUGCCCCGCCUAGGCUUCCCCUGCAUUGACCGGCCUCGGCCCACAGAGCUCCACCGCGGCCCAGGCCUCUCCUCCCGGCCAGGCCGGCCCAUGAAGCCGAGGUGAGCCCCCUUUCCCCUGCCUCUAUUCCCCGCCUAGGCUCCUGUCGGUAUAUUGCGCCCCUGUUAGGCCCGGUUAGUUAAUUUACGAAUUUUUGGAAUUAAUAAAUUCUAGAAAAUAGUCGGAUAUUAAAUUGCCCGUAGUUUAUUAACCGUAAGUCGGAUCGCGACGUGUAGCAUAUGGUUUUAGUGUAGAAUCUCGUGUAGAAUUCGAAUUAACAACUUGCAUAAAUGUUUGACAUAGUUUAGCAUGCCAAAUGCAUAGUUUUACGUGUUGUCCCAAUAGGAUUAGUCCCGUAUUUAUUUUCUCGUGCGAGUCCGGAUUGUUCGAACUCCAUAGUAGAAAUGUUCAUGUUUUAGGAACCCCUUUGCGAUGUAUUUUAGAGUAGUCGUUGGUAUUUUUGCAUGUAGGGUUUAGCCGCUAGUUUGUUUUUCGCAUUUACUAUAUUAUCUCGCAUAUACGUAUGGCGAUAUUAUUGUUGUGCAACACCUCAUGUUAUAUAUGUUUUCGGGGUAGAAAAAAGGAUUUUUCUGUGCAUUUAGUUUUAGCUUUUGAGUAAGUUAGUUCGCGCGAUAUUUUUCUAUGUAGCCUUUUGUUUAUUUUGUGGGGUUUAGUCCCUGCGUGAUUUGAAGGAGUUGUCAACUAGAGAGUUGCCUUUUGAUGUUUAGUCUAGCCCCUGGUCUUUUUGGUUGCAAUAUAAAUACAUGUUUAGGUGUGGUUUGCUUGCUCUCAACUUGCUAGGAAAUACUGCUGAUUUGGGCAUGCUGAAAUAUUUCUAAGUCUGAAAUCUGUUAUAUUUUGUUGCUGUCUUUGCAUGAGUUUAUCUGGUGAUCUGCGGCUCUUUUGAGGUUGGUGCAAUGGAGUUAGUUGUAGACUUUGGGAUUAUCUAGCAUGUUGUGAAUUUUCAUGCCAUUUGGAGUCCUGUAGCUUAUGGUUUUGCUGCUGUCAAUAUGCCUUCAGAUCGAAAGCUGAAUUUUUGAUAAACUGUUAUUUUCACUAAGUCUGAAACUGUGUGUGAGAAGCCAUUUUGUGACUUCUUUUCCUAGUGUUGCAUGCUUCCAUGCUAGUGGUUGUUAGUUGUAUGUUGUCGUGAUUCUUGCCCUCUAUCGUGUCAUAUCUUGGUUGAGUAUAUUGGAGUUGAGUAGCUCGUAGUUGUGGGGUGUACAAAAUGCUAUGUGGCUGAUUUUGGCAGAUUGUGGUGAUUUCUUGUUUAGCUCGUAGUUGUUGAACCGUAGCUCCGUUUCGAUCGUGUCCUAUAUGAAACUUGCUUAGAAUCUCGUGUAGAUCCAUCUUAUCUUGCUCGUUGUAUGUUUUGAAGUGCUCAUGAUUGUCAUUGCGNNNNNNNNNNNNNNNNNNNNNNNNNNNNNNNNNNNNNNNNNNNNNNNNNNNNNNNNNNNNNNNNNNNNNNNNNNNNNNNNNNNNNNNNNNNNNNNNNNNNACAUGUUAAAUAUCAACCUCUCAACAAUGCCAUGAAAACCUUCAACCUAUUCACAACCUAGCAAACCACUGAUUGUCUAUGUUACCGCUUGCUUAACCGUGUGUUAGCGUUGCUAGUUGCAGGUGUAGUUGCUUCCAUGUGAAAACAUGGGUUCCUUGUUAUAUCACCCUAUUAAAAGCUAUUUAAAUUUAAUGCACAUAUAUACUUGGUAAAAGCUGGAAGGCUCGGCAUUUCUAGCCUGGUGUUUGAUACGUCUCCGUCGUAUCUACUUAUCCGAACUUUUUUGCCCCUGUUUUGGACUCUAAUUUGCAUGAUCCACCGGAGGAGGUGGGCUAGUGGGCCACAAGCCCACAGGCCGCGGCCACCCCCCUGGCCACGCCAUGAGGGCUUGUGGGGCCCACCUGGCACCACCGCCUCCAAACUCAGCACUAUAUUUUCCGUUUCGCCCGGAAAAAAAUCAGAGAGAAGGAUUCAUCGCGUUUUACGAUACGGAGGCGCCACCACCCCUUGUUGUUCAUCUGGAGGGCAGAUCUGGAGUCCGUUUUGGGCUUCGGAGAGGGGAAAUCGUCGCCAUCGUCAUCAUCAACCUUCCUCCAUCACCAAUUCCAUGAUGCUCUUCAUCGUUCAUGAGUAAUCUCAUCGUAGGCUUGCUGGAAGGUGAUGAGUUGGAUGAGAUCUAUCAUGUAAUCGAGUUAGUUUUGACGGGGAUUGAUCCCUAGUAUCCACUAUGUUCUGAGGUUGAUGUUGCUACUACUUUGCCAUGCUUAAUGCUUGUCACUAGGGCCCGAGUGCCAUGAUUUCAGAUUUGAACCUAUUAUGUUGUCGCCAAUAUAUGUGUGUUUUAGAUCCUAUCUUGCAAGUUGUAGUCACCUACCAUGUGUUAUGACCCGGCAACCCCGGAGUGACAAUAGCCGGAACCACUCCCGGAGAUGACCAUAGUAUGAGGAGUUCAUGUAUUCGCCAAGUGUUAAUGCAUUGGUCCGAUUCUUUAUUAAAAGGAGAACCUUAAUAUCCCGUAGUUUCCAUUAGGACCCCGCUGCCACGGGAGGGACGGACAAUAGAUGUCAUGCAAGUUCUUUUCCCGAAGCACGUAUGACUACAAACGGAAUACAUGCCUACAUUAGAUUGACGAACGGGAGCUAGUUACAUAUAUCUCCGUGUUAUAGCUGUUACAUGAUGAAUCAUAUCCGUCAUACUCAUCCAUCACCGAUCCACUGCCUACGAGUCUUUUACUACUGGUCCUUGCUACGUUACUUUGUCGCUACUACUGUUGCUACUGCUGUUACUUGCUGUUGCUGUCACUACUGUUGUUCCUUGCUGCUGCUGUCACUACUAUUGUUACUUGCUACUUUGCUGUUACUUGUUGCAAGAAUUUUCUGGAACCGUUACUGGGAAGAAUAGUCCCCCAUCAACGUGCUAUUUACUGGCGCCAUUGAUACAACAAGUUAGGAAUAGUCUGCCGUCAACAGAUCAUUUCUGGCACCGUUGCUAUCAUACCAUUUUGCUACUGAUACUUGCUUGCAGACACUAAUCUUUCAGGUGUGGUUGAAACUAACAAACUCAGCUGCUAAUACUUGAGAAUAUUCUUUUGCUUCCCUUCGUGUCGAAUCAACAAAUUUGGGUUGAAUACUCUACCCUCAAAAACUGUUGCGAUNNNNNNNNNNNNNNNNNNNNNNNNNNNNNNNNNNNNNNNNNNNNNNNNNNNNNNNNNNNNNNNNNNNNNNNNNNNNNNNNNNNNNNNNNNNNNNNNNNNNUAUCCCUGACAAGGCCCUCGUGCCAAAUUGAGGAUAGGGUCGCAUCUUGGGCGUGACACCUUUAAUGGAGCAAGGUAUAGUGGGCACAUCGAGAUCACCUAGUUUCUUAGGAGUUCCACCCUUGAAGGUAUAGUUAGCAAGCAUGGUGGAAAUCUCAAUCUCACGUAUCCUCCUCUUAUUAGUCACAAUAUCUUUCAUGUACUUAGCAUACGGAGACAUUUUGAGCAUAUCUGUCAAAUGCAUUUGCAGAAAGAUAGGUCUAAUCAUUUCAAUGAAUCGCUCCAAAUCCUCAUCAUCCUUUUUCUUGGAUGGUUUGGGAGGAAAGGGCAUGGGUUUCUGACCCAUGGUUCCCUUUCUUUACCAUGCUUCCUAGCAACGAAGUCGUUCUUAUCGUAUCUUCUAUUCUUAGGUUGUGGGUUAUCAAGAUCAACACUAGGUUCAAUCUCCACAUCCUUAUCAUUGCUAGGUUGAGCAUCAUCAUGAACAUCACUAUUGAUAUUAUCAUUAGGCUCAUGUUCAUCACCAGAUUGUGUUUCAGCAUUAGAGACAGAGGCAUCGUUUGGACUCUCAGGUGUAGCAGCAACAAAGUUGCUAGUGUGCAAGUUCUUAUCAUCUUUCUUCUUCUUCCUAGGAUGACUAGGUGCAUCAAUGCAAACUCCUUGAGAAUCUUAUUCAAUUCUCUUCGGAUGACCCUCAGGAUACAAAGGUUCCUGGGUCAUUCUACCGCCUCUAGUGACGACUCUGACAAAAUUGUCAUUCAACUCAUUGAGAAAGUCAUUCUGAGCUUUAAGUACUUGUUCUACCUGAGUAGUAACCAUAGAGGCAUGUUUACUCAGAAGUUUAAGAUCAUUGACAUUUCUGUCCACACAAGCACUUAAAUGACUAAGCAUACGAGCAUUUUGUUCCAAUUGUCUGCUAACAUAAUCAUUGAAACUCUGUUGUUUGGCAACAAAGUUAUCAAAUUCAUCCAGGCAUAAGCUAGCAGGUUUAUCCAAAGGAAUAUCACGUUCAUUAAACCUACGCAGAGAAUUUACUUCUACUACCUGUAUCGGGUUAUCAAGACCAUGGAUCUCUUCGAUAGGUGGUAGAUUUUUGACAUCUUUAGAUUUAAUGCCUUUCUCUUUCAUAGAUUUCUUAGCUUCUUGCAUAUCUUCAGGACUGAGGAAUAGAAUACCUCUUUUCUUCGGAGUUGGCUUAGGAGGUCACUACUGGAAUCAGAGAAUUUGCCAUUUGCUGCUUCUUUGCCGUCUGCUGGCUGAUGGCAAAGACACUCUUUGCCAUCAGCUACCCAAAACCUGACGGCAAAGAGCAGGCUGAUGGAAAACAUCCUCUUUGCCGUAAGUGUACUCUUUGUCGUCUGCCAGCUGACGGCAAAGCACAUGCAGGCAGAUAGCAAAGAACCCACCCCACACCGCCCUCUAACCCAUAACGGUCCAACACUUUGUCGUCAUCCUAUUACCACUUUGCCGUCGGGGGCAGACGUCAAAGAGGCAACUAGACCUAACGUCGUCAACCCCCACCCCACCACCUCUCUCUNNNNNNNNNNNNNNNNNNNNNNNNNNNNNNNNNNNNNNNNNNNNNNNNNNNNNNNNNNNNNNNNNNNNNNNNNNNNNNNNNNNNNNNNNNNNNNNNNNNNGCUACACUAGUGUUGGAAUUAUGCCCUAGAGGCAAUGAUAAAUAAGUUAUUAUUAUAAUUCAUGUAUCAAGAUAAUCGUUUAUUAUCCAUGCUAUAAUUGUAUUGAACGAAGACUUAGAUACAUGUGUGGAUACAUAGACAAAACACUGUCCCUAGCAAGCCUCUAGUUGGCUAGCCAGUUGAUCAAGGAUAUUCAGGGUCUUCUGACUAUGUACAAGGUGUUGUUGCUUGAUAACUGGAUCACGUCAUUGGGAGAAUCACGUGAUGGACUAGACCGAAACUAAUAGACGUAGCAUGUUGAUCGUGUCAUUUUGUUGCUACUGUUUUCUGCGUGUCAAGUAUUUAUUCCUAUGACCAUGAGAUCAUAUAACUCACUGACACCGGAGGAAUACUUUAUGUGUAUCAAACGUCACAACGUAACUGGGUGGCAAUAAAAAUGCUCUACAGGUAUCUCCUAAGGUGUCCGUUGAGUUAGUAUGGAUCAAGACUGGGAUUUGUCACUCCGUGUGACGGAGAGGUAUCUCGGGGCCCACUCGGUAAUACAACAUCACACACAAGCCUUGCAAGCAAUGUGACUUAGUGUAAGUUACGGGAUCUUGUAUUACAGAACGAGUAAAUAGACUUGCCGGUAAACGAGAUUGAAAUAGGUAUGCAGAUACUGAUGAUAGAAUCUCGGGCAAGUAACAUACCGAAGGAUAAAAUCCUUGGCACUGAGGUUCAAACGAUAAGAUCUUCGUAGAAUAUGUAGGAUCCAAUAUGGUCAUCCAGGUCCAGCUAUUGGAUAUUGACCGAGGAGUCCCUCGGGUCAUGUCUGCAUAGUUCUCGAACCCGCAGGGUCUGCACACUUAAGGUUCGACGUUGUUUUAUGCAUAUUUGAGUUAUAUGGUUGGUUACCGAAUGUUGUUUGGAGUCCCGGAUGAGAUCAUGGACGUCACGAGGGUUUCCGGAAUGGUUUGGAGACGAAGAUUGAUAUAUAGGAUGACCUCAUUUGAUUACCGGAAAGUUUUCGGAAUUACCGGAAAUGACGAAUGGGUUCCGGAUGUUCACCGGGGGGGGGGGCAGCCCACCCCGGGGAAGCCCAUAGGCCUUACGGGUGCUGCACCAGCCCUUAGUGGGCUGGUGGGCAAGCCCAAGAAGGCCCCUGCGCAGGAGAUAAGAAAAUCAAAGAGAAAAAAGGGGAAGUGGGAAAGAAGGGAAGGACUCCACCUUCCAAUCCUAAUCGGACUAGGAUUGGAGGAGGAUUCCUCCUCCCCCCCUUCGGCCGACCCCCUUGGGGCUCCUUGAGCCUCAAGGCAAGGCCCCUCCCCUUCCACCUAUAUAUGCGGAGGUAUUAGGGCUGAUUUGAGACAACUUUGCCACGGCAGCCCGACCACAUACCUCCACGGUUUUUCCUCUAGAUCGCGUUUCUACGAAGCUCGGACGGAGCCCUGCUGAGAUUAGAUCACCACCAACCUCCGGAGCGCCGUCAUGCUACUGGAGAACUCAUCUACCUCUCCAUCUCUCUUGCUGGAUCAAGAAGGCCGAGAUCAUCGUCGAGCUGUACGUGUGCUGAACGCGGAGGUGCCGUCCGUUCGGCACUAGAUCAGAGCGGAUCGUGGGACGGAUCGAGGGACGGUUCGUGGGACGGUUCGCGGGGCGGAUCGAGGAACGUGAAGACGUUCCACUACAUCAACCGUGUUUAUUAAACGCUUCUGUUGUGCGAUCUACAAGGGUACGUAGAUCUGAAAUCACCCUCGUAGAUGGAAAUCACCAUGAUAGGUCUUCUUGCGCGUGGGAAAUUUUUUGUUUCCCAUGCGAUGUUGCCCAACAGUGGCAUCAUGAGCUAGGUUCAUGCGUAGAUGUCAUCUCGAGUAGAACACAAAAGUUUUUGUGGGCGGUGAUGUGCAAUUUGCUGCCCUCCUUAGUCUUUUCUUGAUUCCACGGUAUUGUUGGAUCGAAGCGGCUCGGACCGACAUUACUCGUACGCUUACGAGAGACUGGUUUCAUCGCUACGAGCAACCCCGUUGCUCAAACAUGACUGGCGAGUGUCGGUUUCUCCAACUUUAGUUGAAUCAGAUUUGACCGAGGAUGUGCUUGGAUGAGGUUAAAUAGCAAUUGAUAUAUCUCCGUUGUGGUGUUUGCGUAAGUAAGAUGCGAUCCUACUAGAUACCCAUGGUCACCACGUAAAACAUGCAACAACAAUUAGAGGAUGUCUAACUUGUUUUUGCAGGGUAUGCUUGUGAUGUGAUAUGGCCAAUGAUGUGAUGUGAUAUAUUGGAUGUAUGAGAUGAUCAUGUUGUAAUAGUUAAUAUCGACUUGUACGUCGAUGGUACGGCAACCGGCAGGAGCCAUAGGGUUGUCUUUAAACUAAUGUUUGUGCUUGCAGAUGCGUUUACUAUAUUGCUAGGAUGUAGCUUUAGUAGUAAUAGCAUGAGUAGCACGACAACCCCGAUGGCGACACGUUGAUGGAGAUCAUGGUGUGACGCCGGUGACAAGAAGAUCGUGUCGGUGCUUUGGUGAUGGAGAUCAAGAAGCACGUGAUGAUGGCCAUAUCAUGUCACUUAUGAAUUGCAUGUGAUGUUAAUCCUUUUAUGCACCUUAUUUUGCUUAGAACGACGGUAGCAUUAUGAGGUGAUCUCUCACUGAAAUUUCAAAACGAAAUUGUGUUCUCCCUGACUGUGUACCGUUGCUACAGUUCGUCGUUUCGAGACACCACGUGAUGAUCGGGUGUGAUAGACUCAACGUUCACAUACAACGGGUGCAAAACAGUUGCACAUGCGGAACACUCGGGUUAAGCUUGACGAGCCUAGCAUGUGCAGACAUGGCCUCGGAACACAUGAGACCGAAAGGUCGAUCAUGAAUCAUAUAGUUGAUAUGAUUUGCAUAGGGAUGCUUAGCACUGAAACUAUCCUCAACUCACGUGAUGAUCGGACUUGAGCUAGUGGAAUUGGAUCAUGAACCACUCAAAUGACUAGAGAGAUGUACUUUUUGAGUGGGAGUUUAGCAAGUAAUUUGAUUAAGUUAAACUCUAAAUAUCUUGAACAUAGUCUAAGUCCACUUUGAAUAUAUUUGUGUUGUAGAUCAAUGGCUCACGCGACAGUCACCCUGAAUUUUAAUACGUUCCUAGAGAAAGCUAAGUUGAAAGAUGAUUGAAGCAACUUUGUGUUGGAAAUAUGCCCUAGAGGCAAUAAUAAAUUAGUUAUUAUUAUAUUUCUUAGUUCAUGAUAAUCGUUUAUUAUCCGUGCUAUAAUUGUAUUGAUUGGAAACACAAUACUUGUGUGGAUACAUAGACAAAACACUGUCCCUAGUAAGCCUCUAGUUCACUAGCUCGUUGAUCAAAGAUGGUCAAGGUUUCCUGGCCAUAGGCAAGUGUUGUCACUUGAUAACGGGAUCACAUCAUUAGGAGAAUCAUGUGAUGGACUAGACCCAAACUAAUAGACGUAGCAUGUUGAUCGUGUCAUUUUGUUGCUACUGUUUUCUGCGUGUCAAGUAUUUGUUCCUAUGACCAUGAGAUCAUAUAACUCACGGACACCGGAGGAAUGCUUUGUGUGUAUCAAACGUCGCAACGUAACUGGGUGACUAUAAAGAUGCUCUACAGGUAUCUCCGAAGGUGUUAGUUGAGUUAGUAUGGAUCAAGACUGGGAUUUGUCACUCCGUGUGACGGAGAGGUAUCUCGGGGCCCACUCGGUAAUACAACAUCACACACAAGCCUUGCAAGCAAUGUAACUUAAUGUAAGUUGCGGGAUCUUGUAUUACGGAACGAGUAAAGAGACUUGCCGGUAAACGAGAUUGAAAUAGGUAUGCGGAUACUAACGAUCGAAUCUCGGGCAAGUAACAUACCGAAGGACAAAGGGAAUGACAUACGGGAUUAUAUGAAUCCUUGGCACUGAGGUUCAAACGAUAAGAUCUUCGGAAUAUGUAGGAUCCAAUAUGGGCAUCCAGGUCCCGCUAUUGGAUAUUGACCGAGGAGUCUCUCGGGUCAUGUCUACAUAGUUCUCGAACCCGCAGNNNNNNNNNNNNNNNNNNNNNNNNNNNNNNNNNNNNNNNNNNNNNNNNNNNNNNNNNNNNNNNNNNNNNNNNNNNNNNNNNNNNNNNNNNNNNNNNNNNNNNNNNNNNNNNNNNNNNNNNNNNNNNNNNNNNNNNNNNNNNNNNNNNNNNNNNNNNNNNNNNNNNNNNNNNNNNNNNNNNNNNNNNNNNNNNNNNNNNNNNNNNNNNNNNNNNNNNNNNNNNNNNNNNNNNNNNNNNNNNNNNNNNNNNNNNNNNNNNNNNNNNNNNNNNNNNNNNNNNNNNNNNNNNNNNNNNNNNNNNNNNNNNNNNNNNNNNNNNNNNNNNNNNNNNNNNNNNNNNNNNNNNNNNNNNNNNNNNNNNNNNNNNNNNNNNNNNNNNNNNNNNNNNNNNNNNNNNNNNNNNNNNNNNNNNNNNNNNACGAAGAUUGAUAUAUAGGAUGACCUCAUUUGGUUACCGGAAGGUUUUCGUGCAUUACCGGAAAAGUUUCGGGCUCAUCGGUAGUGUACCGGGAGUGCCGUGAGGGGUGCCGGGGACCAUCGGGAGGGGUGUCACGCCCCAAGGGGUCUCAUGGGCUAUGGGAAGAGAUAAACCAGCCCCUAGUGGGCUGGAAUAAGUUCCCACUAAGGCCCAUAAGGUUUGAGAAGGAAAAAACACAAGGUGGAAAGAGUUUCCAAGUGGGAAGGUGGAAUCCUACUCCAAGUAGGAUUGGAGUAGGACUCCUCCACCUCCAAUUUCGGCCAAACCUUUGGGUUUUGAGGCUGCCUCCUCCCCUCCCUCCCACCUAUAUAUACGGAGGUUUUAGGGCUGAUUUGAGACGACUUUUCCACGGCAGCCCGACCACAUACCUCCACGGUUUUUCCUCUAGAUCGCGUUUCUGCGGAGCUCAGGCGGAGCCCUGCUGAGACAAGGUCAUCACCAACCUCUGGAGCGCCGUCACGCUGCCGGAGAACUCUUCUACCUCCCCGUCUCUCUUGCUGGAUCAAGAAGGCCGAGAUCAUCGUCAAGCUGUACGUGUGCUGAACGCGGAGGUGCCGUCCGUUCGGUACUAGAUCGUGGGACUGAUCGCGGGAUUGUUCGCGGGGCGGAUCGAGGGACGUGAGGACGUUCCACUACAUCAACCGCGAUCUCUAAUCGCUUCUGCUGUACGAUCUACAAGGGUGCGUAGAUCGCUCAUCCCCUCUCGUAGAUGAACAUCACCAUGAUAGGUCUUCGUGCGCGUAGGAAAAUUUUUGUUCCCAUGCGACGUUCCCCAACACUUUGUAGACUGGGCUCAUAAUCUUAAGUUGCUCCUGCAAGUUGGGAAGAAGGAUUAUGUCCUUAAUGCUGCGCUAGGAGAUGAACCAUCCGCUACGGCUGACCAAGAUGUUAAGAACGCUUGGUUAACACGUAAGGAGGACUACUCAGUAGUUCAAUGUGCAGUCUUGUAUGGCUUAGAGCCGGGACUUCAACGUCACUUUGAGCAUCAUGGAGCAUAUGAGAUGUUCCAGGAGUUGAAGUUUAUCUUUCAGAAGAACGCCCGGAUCGAAAGGUAUGAGACCUCCGAUAAAUUCUAUGCUUGCAAGAUGGAGGAGAAUUCGUUUGUUAGUGAACAUGUGCUCAAAAUGUCUGGGUACUCAAACCGUCUAGCUGAGCUGGGGAUUGAACUCCCGCAAGAGGCUGUCACUGACAGAAUUCUUCAAUCACUGCCUCCAAGCUAUAAGGGCUUUGUGUUGAACUACAACAUGCAAGGGAUGAACAAGUCACCCGAUGAGUUGUUCACGAUGCUGAAAGUCGGAGAGUCAGAAUUCCGUAAAGAGCAUCAAGUGUUGAUGGUGAAUAAGACCACUAGUUUCAAGAGAAACAACAAAGGAAAGAAAGUUAAUUCGAAGAAGAGCUUCAAGCCUGUUGCCAAUCCGUCGAAGAAACCCAAAGCUGGACCUAAGCCUGAAACGGAGUGCUAUUAUUGCAAGGGUAUGGGUCACUAGAAGCGCAACUGCCCCAAGUAUCUGGCUGAUAAGAAGGCGGCCAAAGAAAAAUCAGGUAUAUUCGAUAUACAUGUUAUUAAUGUGUACUUAACCAGCUCUCGUAGUAGUGCCUGGGUAUUCGAUACCGGUUCUAUUGCUCAUAUUUGUAACUCGAAACAGGAACUGCGGAAUAAGCGAAGGCUGGCGAAGGAUGAAGUGACGAUGCGCGUGGGAAAUGGUUCCAAGGUUGAUGCAAUCGCCGUCGGCACAACUUCACUUCAGUUACCAUCAGGAUUAGUUAUGAACUUAAAUAAUUGUUAUUUAGUGCCUGCGUUAAGCGUGAACAUUAUAUCUGGAUCUUUGUUAUUGCGAGAAAGUUACUCGUUUAAGUCAGAGAAUAAUGGUUGUUCUAUUUCUAUGAGUAAUAUCUUUUAUGGUCAUGCACCCAAUGUGAGAGGAUUGUUCAGAUUGAAUCUUGAUUGUGAUAAUACACAUAUACAUAACAUUGAGACCAAAAGAGUUAGAGUUAACAAUGAUAGCGCCAUGUUUUUAUGGCACUGCCGCUUAGGUCAUAUUGGUGUAAAGCGCAUGAAGAAACUCCAUACCGAUGGACUUUUGGAGUCACUUGACUUUGAUUCACUUGACACGUGCGAACCAUGCCUCAUGGGAAAGAUGACUAAAACUCCUUUCUCCGGAACAAUGGAGCGUGCAAGUGACUUGUUGGAAAUCAUACAUACCGAUGUGUGUGGUCCGAUGAGUGUGGAGGCACGCGGCGGAUAUCGUUAUUUUCUCACCUUCACUGACGAUUUGAGUAGAUAUGGUUAUGUCUACUUGAUGAAGCACAAGUCUGAAACAUUUGAAAAGUUCAAGCAAUUUCAGAGUGAAGUUGAAAAUCAUCGUAACAAGAAGAUCAAGUUCCUACGGUCUGAUCGUGGGGGUGAAUACCUAAGUUUCGAGUUUGGUGCUCACUUAAGCCAAUGUGGAAUUGUUUCACAGUUGACACCGCCUGGAACACCACAGCGUAAUGGUGUGUCCGAACGUCGUAAUCGCACUUUAUUAGAGAUGGUGCGAUCUCUGAUGUCUCUUACCGAUUUGCCGUUAUCAUUAUGGGGUUAUGCAUUAGAAACAGCUGCAUUCACUUUAAAUAGGGCACCAUCAAAAUCCGUUGAGACGACACCAUACGAACUGUGGUAUGGCAAAAGACCAAAGUUGUCGUUUCUUAAAGUUUGGGGAUGUGAUGCUUAUGUCAAAAAGCUUCAGCCUGAAAAUCUAGAACCCAAAGCGGAAAAGUGCGUCUUCAUAGGUUACCCAAAAGACACAGUUGGGUACACCUUCCAUCUCAAAUCCGAGGGCAAAGUGUUUGUUGCUAAGAACGGAGCUUUUCUCGAGAAGGAGUUUCUCUCGAGAGAAUUGAGUGGGAGGAAGAAAGAACUUGAUGAGGUUGUCGAACCUCUCAUCCCUCUGGAUGGUGGCGCGGGGCAAGGGGAAAACCGUGUCGUUGCGACGCCGGUUGAGGAGGAAGUUAAUGAUGAUGAUCAUGAAACUCCGGAUCAAAUUUCUAUCGAACCUCGAGGUUGACGAGACCACGUACUACUGCAGAGUGGUACGGUAAUCCCGUAUUAUCAAUAAUGUUGUUGGACAACAAUGAGCCUGCGAAUUAUGAAGAAGCAAUGGUGGGCCCGGAUUCCAACAAAUGAGUGGAGGCCAUGAAGUCCGAGAUAGGACCUAUGUAUGAAAACAAAGUGUGGACUUUGGAAGUACUACCUGAAGGCCGCAAGGCUAUUAAGAACAAAUGGAUCUUUAAGAACAAGACGGACGCUGACGGUAAUGUGACCAUUUACAAAGCUCGACUUGUGGCAAAGGUUUUUUCACAAGUUCAAGGAGUUGACUACGAUGAGACGUUCUCACCCGUAGCGAUGCUUAAGUCCGUCAGAAUCAUGUUAGCAAUAGCUGCAUUUUUCGAUUAUGAAAUCUGGCAGAUGGAUGUCAAAACGGCGUUCCUUAAUGGUUUCCUUAAGGAAGAGUUGUAUAUGAUGCAACCCGAAGGUUUUGUCGAUCCUAAAAAUGCUAAAAAAGUGUGCGAGCAUCUCAGAGUUGGAAUAAACGCUUUGAUGAGGUGUUCAAAGCAUUUGGGUUUAUACAAGUGGUUGGAGAAUCUUAUAUUUAUAAGAAAGUGAGUGGGAGCUGUGUGGCGUUUCUAAUAUUAUAUGUGGAUGACAUAUUGCUGAUUGGAAACAACGUGGAGCUUUUUGAGAGCAUAAAGGAUUAUUUGAAUAAAAGUUUCUCUAUGAAGGACCUAGGAGAAGCUGCUUACAUUCUAGGCAUAAAGAUCUAUAGGGAUAGAUCGAAACGUCUCAUAGGACUUUCACAAAGCACAUACCUUGAUAAAGUUUGGAAGAGGUUCAAAAUGGAACAAUCCAAGAAGGGGUUCUUGCCAGUUUUACAAGGUACGAGAUUGAAUAAGACUCAGUGCCCAGCAACUGAUAAAGAUAGAGAGCAUAUGAGCACCGUCCCCUAUGCUUCAACCAUAGGUUCUAUCAUGUAUGCAAUGUUGUGCACUAGACCGGACGUUAGCUUGGCCACAAGUAUGGCAGGCAGGUUCCAGAGUAAUCCAGGAGUGGAUCACUGGACGACGGUCAAGAAUAUCCUGAAGUACCUGAAAAGGACUAAGGAGAUGUUUCUCGUGUAUGGAGGUGACGAAGAGCUCGCCGUAAAAGUUUACGUCCAUACAAGCUUUGACACAGAUCCGGACGACUCUAAGUCGUAGACCGGAUACGUAUUUAUUCUUAAUGGGGGUGCGGUAAGCUGGUGCAGUUCCAAGCAAAGCGCCGUAGCUGAUUCCACAUGUGAAGCGGAGUACAUGGCUGCCUCGGAGGCAACUAAGGAGGGUGUCUGGAUGAAGCAGUUCAAGACGGAUCUUGGAGUGGUGCCAAGCACACUGAAUCCAAUAACCCUGUUUUGUAACAACACGGGUGCCAUUGCCUUAGCAAAGGAACCACAGUUUCACAAGAAGACCAGACACAUCAAACGACGCUUCAACCUCAUCCGCGACUACGUCAAAGGGGAGGACGUAAAUAUAUGCAAAGUGCACACGGAUCUGAAUGUAGCAGACCCGCUGACUAAACCUUUUCCACGGGCAAAGAAUGAUCAACACCAUAACUGUAUGGGUGUUAGAUUUAUUACAAUGUAAUUCGCAUGGUGAUGUGAGGGCUAGAUUAUUGACUCUAGUGCAAGUGGGAGACUGUUGGAAUUAUGCCCUAGAGGCAAUGAUAAAUAAGUUAUUAUUAUAAUUCCUGUAUCAAGAUAAUCGUUUAUUAUCCAUGCUAUAAUUGUAUUGAAUGAAGACUUAGAUACAUGUGUGGAUACAUAGACAAAACACUGUCCCUAGCGAGCCUCUAGUUGGCUAGCCAGUUGAUCAAGGAUAGUCAGGGUCUUCUGACUAUGUACAAGGUGUUGUUGCUUGAUAAAUGGAUCACGUCAUUGGGAGAAUCACGUGAUGGACUAGACCGAAACUAAUAGACGUAGCAUGUUGAUCGUGUCAUUUUGUUGCUACUGUUUUCUGCGUGUCAAGUAUUUAUUCCUAUGACCAUGAGAUCAUAUAACUCACUGACACCGGAGGAAUACUUUGUGUGUAUCAAACGUCACAACGUAACUGGGUGGCUAUAAAGAUGCUCUACAGGUAUCUCCAAAGGUGUCCGUUGAGUUAGUAUGUAUCAAGACUGGGAUUUGUCACUCCGUGUGACGGAGAGGUAUCUCGGGGCCCACUCGGUAAUACAACAUCACACACAAGCCUUGCAAGCAAUGUGACUUAGUGUAAGUUACGGGAUCUUGUAUUACAGAACGAGUAAAUAGACUUGCCGGUAAACGAGAUUGAAAUAGGUAUGAGGAUACUGACGAUCGAAUCUCGGGCAAGUAACAUACCGAAGGACAAAGUGAAUGACAUACGAGAUUAUAUAAAUCCUUAGCACUAAGGUUCAAACGAUAAGAUCUUCGUAGAAUAUGUCGGAUCCAAUAUGGGCAUCCAGGUCCCGCUAUUGGAUAUUGACCGAGGAAUCCCUCGGGUCAUGUCUACAUAGUUCUCAAACCCGCAGGGUCUGCACACUUAAGGUUCCACGUUGUUUUAUGCGUAUUUGAGUUAUAUGGUUGGUUACCGAAUGUUGUUUGGAGUCCCCGAAUGAGAUCAUAGACGUCACGAGGGUUUAUGGAAUGGUCCGGAGACGAAGAUUAAUAUAUAGGAUGACCUCAUUUGAUUAUCGGAAAGUUUUCGGAAUUACGGGGAAUGACGAAUGGGUUCCGGAUGUUCACCGGGGGGGGGGGGGGGGGGCCCCCCCGCAGCCCACCCCGGGGAAGCCCAUAGGCCUUAGGAGUGCCGCACCAGCCCUUAGUGGGCUGGUGGGCAAGCCCAAGAAGGCCCCUGCGCAGGAGAUAAGAAAAUCAAAGAGAAAAAAGGGGAAGUGGGAAAGAAGGGAAGGACUCCACCUUCCAAUCCUAGUUGGACUAGGAUUGGAGGAGGAUUCCUCCUCCCCCCUUCGGCCGACCCCCUUGGGGUUCCUUGAGGCUCAAGGCAGGGCCCCUCCCCUCCCACCUAUAUAUACGGAGGUAUUAGGGCUGAUUUGGGACAACUUUGUGUGACAGCCCGGUGCCGACGUUCUAGAAGCUUCCCCUCUCUUUCCGUUUUCGUCGUGUGGCUUAUUUUAAUUGUCGUGUCAUUAUCGCAUCAUGCGCAUCAUCAGCAUUGCAUCGGCGUCUCCGUUGCCGCCAGUUUUCAAACUUGCGUCCGUUAGUAGUUGCCGGUUCUCGUUGUUGUUCGUUCCGAGUCCGACCGCACACGCACGCGCCCGGGGCACCGUCGAAACCCUGUUUUAAAGUGCGUUUAAAACUUCCUCUGAUUGAGGUGAAACUUGGCACGCGGUCGCGAUUAGAUGUAGCUAGGCCGCCUGUCGAAUUUUGUCGCGAUCGGAGACCGUCUGGUACCCGAACGGUCGCCCGUAGUGGCACCGUAUUCGGUCUACCGUCGGACGUCUAUCGGUGUUGUUAAAACUCGUGCCGUGCCGCCCGCUCUCUCUCUCGUCUCCGGAUGUCUACACAACACGGCCACGUAGCACGCCCCGCGUUCGGAAUCGUCCGAAUCCGACCCCGCGGUUGGAUCCGGAUCGCGAUUCCGGUUAACCGAGCCCCCUUUUUCCUUAUAAAUACCCCCCUCCUCCUUAAUUUUUAGACAGCCCCUCUUCCCUGCCUCGUUUUCCGCGCCCCACCUACCAAACCCUAGCCUCUUUCCUCCCACCUGUCUCCCUCCUCCAGCCGCCGGCCCGCUAGGCCCGCGCGCGGCCCGCCCGAGCCCAUCUCGGCCCGAGCCGCCGCCGCCCCGGUCUGCCCCGUUGCGCCCGAGCUCCUCCCGGCGCCUCCCCAUGGCUUUCCCUGCCCGCGCGCCUCGCCGGAGGUCGCCGUGCCCUGCCGCCUAGCACCUUCCGGCCACCGCCACGACGGGCCCCGCCGGACCCAGGCCGGAGCCUUGCCCCGCUCCUCUGUCCUCCCUCCUUCUCUCCCUAACCCUCGGUUCAUCUCUCUCCCGCAGGUCCCCAUCACCAUGGAGCUCCGUGGCCGUCUCGCGCCUCCUCCGCCGGGAAUGGCUCCCGCAACACCAGAUCCGGUCAGUCCCCUCUCGGAUUCAUUCGACCCCGUCCAGUCACCUCCCCGGUCGGCGUUGACCCGCCAUGCCCCGUCGUGUGCAGCGUCGGGAGGUUGACGAGGCGGAUCGAUCCCUGUCGCCGAGCGUGCGCUCGCAUGGGUCGGAUCCGCGCGGGGCCCAACACGCCUCGGCCCAGCGAGGCUGCCCCAGGACAGCGUCGGCCCAUGCCUCGCUUCGGCCUCCUCUCCAGGCCGCCUCCGCAGCUUCCUCUCUUGGGCCGAAGUCCGCAAGGUGAGGCCCCCUCUGACGCUCAAAUCGCGCACUAGGCGCUGUAUAGGAACCUGCGCCCCCCUUGUAGCAUUAGAAAUGGUUUCGGCCCAUUUAGAUAAUUUAGGUUUUUUUUUCCGGAAUUAAUAAAUUCCAGAAAAUAGUCGGAUAUUAAAACGCUCGUAACUUUUGUUCAGUUAGUCGGAUCGAGGUGAUCUUUAUAUCGUUUUGGUGUAGAAUUUCACGUAGAAUAUGAUUUUGAGACUUGCAUAUUUGUUUAACGCUGUUUUAGAGUGCCUAAUGUCUCGUUUUACGUGCUGUUUAACUAGGUACCGUUCCGUAGUUAAUUCUCGUGCGUGUCCGGACUGCCCGUAUGCCAUGGAUUUAAUGUCCAUGUUUUAGGGACCAUAUUUCCACGUAUUUUAGAGCGCUCACUCGUAUUUUUCCGUGUAGGGUUUUGCCGGUAGUUCAUUUUCCCGUUUAGAGGUAUUAUCUCGCAUUAUUGUGUGGCUUUAUUUUGCGUUGCAAACCCCGCUUAUUUUAUAUGUUUUCGGGGUAGAAAAAAUCCCGUGGAUUUUUCUGUGCAAUUAGUUUUAGCUUUUGAGGAAGUUAGUCCGCGAGAUAUUUUAUCGUGGUGCCCUUUUGUUUAAUUCGUAGGAUUUAUUCCGUGCCUCGUUUGAAUUAGUUGUCAACCAGUGAGUUGAUCUUGGAUGUUUUGUUUAGCCCCUGGUAAUUUUGGUUGCCAUAAAAAUGCAUGUUUAGGUGUUGUUUGCUUGCUCUCAAGUUGCUUGAAUAGUGCUGUUUUAGAGGAGCUGAAAUAUUUCUAAGUCUGGAAUCUGCUAUUAUUUUGUUGCUGUCUUGUCUUGCUUGUAGCUUGUGAUCUGUAGCUCUUUUGAGGUUGGUCCAAUGGGGUUAGUUGUUCCCCUUAUGUUUCUCUAGCUUGCUGUUAAGUUUCAUGCCAUUUGAAGUCCUGUAGCUAUAGGUUUUGCUGCUGUCAAUAUGCCUUCAGGCUGAAAACUGCACUUUCAGGAGGUGUUAUUUUCACUAAGUCUGAAAUAGUGCGUGAGAUGUCAUUUUGUGUCUUCUUUUCCUAGUGCUCCUUGCUGCCAUGCUAGUAGUUGUUAGAUGUUUGUAGUAGUGCGUCUUGCCCUCUUUCAUGCCAUGCCUAGCUCGAGCUCUUCGGAGUUGUGUAGCCGAAGUUGUGAGUCGUAGAAAGUGCUAUGUGGCUGUUUUUGGCAGAUUGUAGUGAUUUCUUGUUUUGCUCGUAGUUUUUGAACCGUAGCUCUGCUUUGAUCGUGUCCUACAUGAAACUUGCUUAGAAUCUCGUGUAGGUUCAUUUGCUCUUGCUUUUUGCAUGUUUUGAAGUGCUCGUAGCCGCCGUUGCACACAUUUUGCAUUCAUGCCAUCAUAUCUUGCGGCGUCCGUAUCUUUUGAACCGUAGCUCCGUUGGAGAUGUUCUUUACAUGUAGGUUGCUUGCCAUGACGAGUAGAAUCACGUGAACCUAUUUGUUUUGCUGUUUAACAACCAAUUAAAGGUAUUAAUUCAAAUCUGGACAGAAUCGUUAAUUAACAUGUGAGGUCGUCUCGGAGAUGCUAUAUGUCAUUUCCGACCUCAUUUAAAAUGCCUAGAUAGGUAGUUUAAUUUCCGCUUCACCUCUUGCAUGUUUGACAACAUUAAUAUCGUCAUGUAAAUAACCGGGAGUGAACUAAAUAAUUAACGUGGAGUUUCGUCAAUAUGCAACUCGUGCAUAUUGAACUUCACUUAAUGUGUAGUGUUUGACAGUGUGAAUUGCCAUGCCGUGACUUGCAUUUGUUCAGUAGCUCAUGCAUCAUACGUGUUGUGCAUCGUGUGGUGAAUAUCGUGUGUUGAUGCUUGUUUCCGGUUUCCCCGUCUCGAUAGAGUUCCGCAAGCGUGUCGGAUUGUGAGGACCCGUUCGACUACGUCGGUUCGUCUGCUUCACGGAGGCAUUCUUCUUCCAAGCGGGAUCUCAGGCAAGAUGACCAUUUCCCCAGAUACCAUUACUAUCAUUGCCAUGCUAGUUCACCGCUUCUAUCGUUUAUGUCUCGUUGCCUACCACCUGUUAAAUUCAGCCUCUCAACAAUGCCAUGAUUACCAUCUACCUGUUCGACCUAGCAAACCACUGAUUGGCUAUGUUACUGCUUGCUUAACCCUGUGUUAGCGUUGCUAGUUGCAGGUGCAGUUGCUUCCAUGCAAAGCAUGGGUUCCUUGUUAUAUCACCAUAUUAAAUGCUAUUUAAUUUAAUGCACCUAUAUAUCUGGUAAAAGGUGGAAGGCUCGGCCUUUCUAGCCUGGUGUUUUGUUCCACCUUUGCCCCCCCCUUAGUUUCCGGCUACCGGUGUUAUGUUCCAUAUUUGAGCGCUCCUAACACGAUCGGGGUUGUUAUGGGGACCCCCUUGAUAAUUCGUUUUUGAUUAAGACUGGUCUGGCAAGGCCCAACUUUGGUACUACAUUUGCCUAAACACCUAAUAAAAUUGCAUAGGGACUUUCCGGACCCCGAGGAUAAUUUAAUCAACCCCCGGGCCAGUGCUCCUCAUGAGUGUUGGUCCAAAUUGGCAGACUACGGGACCACCGCGGGGCAACCCGAGGUUUGGUACUCCUA